UACAGAGGUCUCAAGCGUUAUUCGGAAUUAUUGGGCGUAAAGAGCGCGUAGGCGGUUUGGUAAGUUUGGUGUGAAAUCCCCGGACUCAAUUCGGGAAGUGCAUUGAAUACUGGCUAAACUAGAGUACUGGAGAGGAGAGUGGAAUUCCUGGUGUAGAGGUGAAAUUCGUAGAUAUCAGGAGGAACAACAGAAGCGAAGGCGGCUCUCUGGACAGUUACUGACGCUGAGGCGCGAAAGCGUGGGGAGCGAACAGG
rnacentral:rRNA from 1 species